UCAGAGUAAAGAUGGAGCAGUGAGGCUCUCCCAGACCCUGCCCUGCAGAAGCCUUAUGUGGACUGAUAGCCCACAUUAAAACCAGUGUGCUUUAAUACAAAGGUCAGCUCCACUGUUUAUCCACUGCCUGACCUUUGGGCACAUUACGGUGCUGCUAAGCUUCAUUUCCUACCUCUAAAAGGAUAGGGGCGUGCAAGUGUAGUGUAGCUCAGGGGUAGAGCGCUUGCCUAGCAUGUCUGAGGCCAUGGGUUCAAUCCCCAGCACCACAAAAUACAUAAAUACAUAAAAGGAUAAUACCUACUCCACAGACUGUUAGGAAGACAGGUUAACAUGCGUAAAAGCAUUUUGAGAAUAGCACCUGGCACAUAACAAGACCAAAAUGAGUAUGUGCUGCUCUUACAAUGAUGAUGAUUAUGAUAGCCGUGAUAAUCAUGAUGACUACCACUGUCAUAAUAAUUCACUGAGUUCUCUGGCCCAGUGAACUGUGGGAUCACACCUAGGGCCUGUUCCAGCUGUGUCAAUGGCCAUCUGUGUGACCCUGAGAAAAUUACUUCCUCUUUCUUAGCCUCAGGUUUCCUCUUCUUUAAAUAGGAGGGAGAGCUGAGCUACUAUGUUCUCUCAAAGAGUUCUCCAGUUCCGGUCUGUCAACUUGCUGGUAGACUCUGAGAGUUGUCCAGGGAACUAAGGGUUUGAGAGAGAUCUUAGAAGUUUGGCAAUGAAACACUGUUUGUCAAACGCUUAAGACAAACUGCCAAGGAACUUACUCUUUCACCAAAAAAUUUUUUUUUCUUUUUUCUUUUUUGUGGUGCUGGGGAUUGAAACCAGAGCUUUGUGCAUGCAAGGCAAGAGCUCUACCACUGAGUCACAUCCCCAGCCCCCAAUUCACCAGAAUUUCCUGCAAAUGAAUGAGCCCUACUGCUACCAGAGCGUGAAAAUAAUAGUUAACAAGCAGAACGGGGCCUGGUGCAUUGACUCUUUAGGAAGGCUCUGUUCUUAGAAGGGAGAAGAAACCAUGAGCUCAAGACCAAGACACCAGGCUCUGAUCUGAACCCUAGUGGGAUUCAACAGCUAGGGGUGGGUCAGCGCCGGAUGUUUCCGAAGCAGCUAGGCUUAAGGCCCCUGAUUGGCGGAGGCGUUGCUAAGGCAAACAGUGCUGCUUCCUCCCAUUGGCCAGUCAGUUAAGGGCGGAAGGUGGAGCUCUUGCGACAGUGAGGAGGAAGCCUCACCCCCUCUCCUUACCGGGAAAAGGAAGAGGGAGGCGUAACUAGGGCCGGCAUCCCUAGCAGCAGGCAGGCCACUGCACACUUAACACCGGAGGGGCAGCCGUCUGGCUAGUAAGGGACUCUAGCAAGGUUGAUGCCAUCAGGAUAUCUGAAGGUAGCUGGGAGCAGGAAAACUAUCCAUGCUUGUUCUUGGAGGAACAGCCCCACCAAUUGCAGGUACCCCAAGCAAGCCAUCACUGGCGCCCAGGCCAAAGUAUGUAACAUUAGGGUACACGACUGGCUCCCAAUACAGCCUGGUACCUGCAGCCUCUGAGACCCACUUGCUUUUCACUCUAGAGGGACAAGGCUGGAUCCCUGCCACACCCGUGAUUCACACAUCACAUUAACGGUAAGGGACCAUGUACGCUGCAAACUGUCCCAUAUGUCUUCCCAGAAAGUGCACAAGCCCUAACCUGCUGUCAUUAACUCCUGCUGCCCUGCAACGCUAUACAGUCCCUUUAUUCCUGCUUUAUCUUGGAAAGGAGAGGAAAGGAAAAGAGAGCUCUCCUUCAUGAACCACCUUCCCCCACAACCUUCUGACUGAUGAUCAAGUGACAAGGGAUACUGAUACAGUGUCUGGAGCUAUGGCAGAUGGGAGCUAGAUUAGCACCAAAUACCCUCCCGUGAGCCCAGGAAGGGGACGCCGGAGACACCAUCCUCACUCGCAACAGCGUUCCACAGCUCACCUUGGGUUUCUCUCGAUGGGACAAAUAAAAACACCCGCCAGCGUU